AGGGUUUGAUCCUGGCCCAGGACGAACGCUAGCGGAGUGCUUUAAGCAUGCAAGUAGAACGAGAUUGUAGCAAUACAGUCGAGUUGCGAACGGCUGAGUAACACGUAAGAACUUACCCCUUGGUGGUGAAUACCUUGCCGAAAGGCAAGUUAAAACAGCAUAAGAUCGUUAAGAUGAAAACCCUUUAAAGGGUGCCGAGGGAGAGGCUUGCGGCCUAUCAGCUAGUUGGUGAGGUAAUGGCUUACCAAGGCUACGACGGGUAGGGGACGUGAGAGCGUGACCCCCCAGAACGGGACUGAGACACGGCCCGUACACCUACGGGUGGCAGCAACUGGGAAUCGUGCGCAAUGGACGAAAGUCUGACGCCGCGACUCCGCGUGAGGGAUGAAGGCAUUCGUGUCGUAAACCUCUUUUGACUAAAGGGAGACCAAUAGUAGAAUAAGCACCGGCUAACUCUGUGCCAGCAGCAGCGGUAAUACAGAGGGUGCAAGCGUUGUCCGGAUUUAUUGGGCGUAAAGAGUUCGUAGGCUUUUCAUUAAGUCAUCUUUCAAAGACCAGAGCUCAACUUUGGGAAGGGGGAUGAUACUGGUGGAAUAGAAAGGUUUCGGGGUUACUGGAACUGUCGGUGUAGGAGUGAAAUCCGUUGAUAUCGACAGGAACACCAAGGGCGAAGGCGGGUAACUAGGAACAUUUUGACGCUGAGGGACGAAAGCUAGGGGAGCGAAAGGGAUUAGAGACCCCUGUAGUCCUAGCCGUAAACGAUGCUCGCUAGGGAUCUGGUCCCUUAAAGACUGGGUUCCGUAAGCUAACGCGUGAAGCGAGCCGCCUGGGGAGUACGAACGCAAGUUUAAAACUCAAAGGAAUUGACGGGGACCCGCACAACCAGUGGAGCAUGUGGUUUAAUUCGAGACGAACCGAAGAACCUUACCGGGGUUUGACAUUCUAGCUGCACAUCCUAAGAGAUUAGGAUUUCUUCGAGAGUGCUAGAACAGGUGUUGCAUGGCUGUCGUCAGCUCGUGCCGUGGGGUGUUCCCUUCAGUGGGGUAACGAGCGCAACCCUUGUCGUAUGUUAAAUUAUUCAUACGAGACUACCCAAUUUAUUUGGGAGGAAGUGGGGACGAUGUCAAGUCAGCAUGGCCCUUAUGUCCCGGGCGACACACAUGCUACAAUGGCGCAAACAAAGGGUUGCCAAGCAGUAAUGCGGAGCUAAUCCCAUAAAUUGCGUCUCAGUGGGGAUUGGGGGCUGAAACUCGCCCUCAUGAACGCGGAAUUGGUAGUAAUCGCGAAUCAGCCAAGUCGCGGUGAAUACGUUCUCGGGUCUUGUACACACCGCCCGUCAAGUCAGCAAAGUUGGGGGCACCCGAAUUCCGAUUGUAUCGGAGCAAGGUGAAACCAGCGAUGAGGAUUAAGUCGUAACAAGGUAUCCGUUCUGGAAGGAGCGGAUG
rnacentral:rRNA from 1 species